GGAGUGUUCGACCCACUGUUCUAGGAAACAUUCGGCCCGAAAAACUGAGGCCCGGUCAAGGCUGCGACUGAAAAAAAAAUGUUCAAUGGGGGGUCCGACGUUUUUUCCUCAUAGCUCGAAUGGCCUUUGCUUAAGGUUUUGCUUAAAACAAUAAAACCGUCUAUUUUAAAAUUGAAUAAUAUACAUACGGGGUCCAGACCCAUAGAGCGUUCCCUCUCCCCUCAAAUGUGAUUUCGGGUCCGGACAACGCCGUUGUUAAAAUAUUCACCGGGAGAUAAUUGAUUUGUUCUGCUGCACAUUUUUCCAAACGCUUUGGAAAUAAUAAACAUUUUUGGUUUUUAAAUAAGCCGUCGUGUUGGACCUUUAUUGAAACGGGGUGU